GAUGAACGCUAGCGGCAGGCCUAAUACAUGCAAGUCGAACGGUGUAGCAAUACACAGUGGCGCACGGGUGCGUAACACGUAUGCAACCUACCUAUUAUUGGGGGAUAGCCUUUGGAAACGGAGAUUAAUACCGCAUAAGACAGUGACAUGGCAUCAUGUAGCUGUUAAAGCUUCGGCGAUAAUAGAUGGGCAUGCGUCCAAUUAGUUAGUUGGUGAGGUAAUGGCUCACCAAGACGAUGAUUGGUAGGGGAUCUGAGAGGAUAAUCCCCCACACUGGCACUGAGAUACGGGCCAGACUCCUACGGGAGGCAGCAGUAGGGAAUAUUGGGCAAUGGGCGGAAGCCUGACCCAGCCAUGCCGCGUGCAGGAUGACGGCGUUAUGCGUUGUAAACUGCUUUUUUAUAGGAAGAAGAAGCCCUUGCGAGGGAAAGUGACGGUACUAUAAGAAUAAGCACCGGCUAACUCCGUGCCAGCAGCCGCCGUAAUAC
rnacentral:rRNA from 1 species